UCCAGACUGAAAUACUCAAUGUAUAUAUAUGUAUAGGUAUAUAAAAUCAGGAAAUGUGAAUGUGAACAGGUAAAAGAAAAUACAGCAACAGUACAGUAUUGGUAUAGUAUCUGUCUACAAUGCCAAAAUAGGGAAUCUUGGAAUCUUAGCAGCAGUCUAAAGCUGUUGCUUUUUUCUGUUUGUUUUGUUCUGUUGAAGUCAGUACUCCCCCAGGUUGGGGAAUGAACACUUACACACAUACUCUCCUGUUGCUGUCUGUGCGUCUCUUGGGAUCUUCUGUGGUUGUAUUGGUUUCCAGUGUAUGCAGCAUCUAUUGGCAAAAACACAUUCUUUAUUUGCCUGUUUAGCUUCAGAAUGCUACUCUAAUCAUAUUAGAAGCAGAAUUCUCUUUUCUAAUUUUAUUGUAAACCUUCUUAAUUAAAUUAACUAUUUUUAUUUGAUAUUUAUAAAAUAAACUGUAAGUAACAAGUCCUGACCUUUGCAUGCAGCGGUGGAACCAGUACUGAUGAAAGUGGUAAUUGUUUUCUUUAUUGCUAUGAUUCUUGUUUUGUGUUGCUCCGUUUCUAUAUGAGUUCCUUUUCUUAAGUGUACUUCCAUGCAAAGUGGAGGAGUUGGGCUGUUAGUGCCCAAUGUACCGCUCCAUAGGGCAGCACAGAACAUACAGUACAACACUAACACCUUCCUCCUGAACACAAUAAGACGAUGAAACAAAAUGUUCAGUAUCUGAUUGGCAGAACGUGCGACACUUCAUCAUGCAAAACAAAAGCCAAUAUUUCAGUUCAGCAGCUGCAGAACCAGAAUGUGCUGAGGUCUUACCGAGUGACAGCAGCAGCCUGGAGCUCACCAUUCGGCCCCUGGAUAUCUCUGCCUCUAUCACAAGUACAGAUGGUGCUGAGACACUGGCACAGGUUGCCCAGAGAGGUGGCAGAUGCCCUGCCCUGGAGAAAUUCAAGGUCAGGCUGGAUGGGGCUCUGAGCACCUGAUGGAGCUGUAGGUGUCCCUGUUCAAUUGCAGAGGAAUUGGAAUAGAUGGUCUUUAAGGAUCCCUUCUAACUCAAACAAUUCUUUGAUUGUGUACCAAGAUCUGCCUGCAAACGCAGCUCAAAGCCUACAUUUUGGAGAAGAGGGCAUUCUUGGAUUUAUGGCUUCCCACAUUCUCAAGUAGAGAAGGCCGUGAAACCCACAUCUGAAGUCCUGGAUGAGUUCUCUAUCUCGGAUGAGUUCUCUGUUAGCUCAUCUCAAACAACUUGAUUUUUUUUUUCAUUUCUUUGUUUUCUAAAAAUAGAGAAUCUUGAUCUUUGUACAUUUUUGUAGGUAUAAAGAAAUGCCUGCCUCAGAAGAAAGCUACAGGCUUUGGCCGUUGACCUCAGACUGUAGGUUGUUUUUACUUCCCAUUCUGAGAUUUGUAACUCUUUCCAAAGUACAGUAUGGAGAGAAGACAAACUUAUGACUGUGUUCCAAAUGCAGCUCCUGGGGCCUAAAAUUAAACACU
ensembl:lncRNA